rnacentral:rRNA from 1 species
GCUCAGAACGAACGCUGGCGGCAGGCCUAACACAUGCAAGUCGAGCGCACUCUUCGGAGUGAGCGGCGGACGGGUUAGUAACGCGUGGGAACAUACCCUUUUCUACGGAAUAGCCUCGGGAAACUGAGAGUAAUACCGUAUACGCCCUUCGGGGGAAAGAUUUAUCGGAGAAGGAUUGGCCCGCGUUUGAUUAGAUAGUUGGUGGGGUAAUGGCCUACCAAGUCUACGAUCAAUAGCUGGUUUGAGAGGAUGAUCAGCAACACUGGGACUGAGACACGGCCCAGACUCCUACGGGAGGCAGCAGUGGGGAAUCUUAGACAAUGGGCGCAAGCCUGAUCUAGCCAUGCCGCGUGAGUGACGAAGGCCUUAGGGUCGUAAAGCUCUUUCGCCAGAGAUGAUAAUGACAGUAUCUGGUAAAGAAACCCCGGCUAACUCCGUGCCAGCAGCCGCGGUAAUACGGAGGGGGUUAGCGUUGUUCGGAAUUACUGGGCGUAAAGCGUACGUAGGCGGAUUGGAAAGUAGGGGGUGAAAUCCCGGGGCUCAACCCCGGAACUGCCUCCUAAACUAUCAGUCUAGAGUUCGAGAGAGGUGAGUGGAAUUCCAAGUGUAGAGGUGAAAUUCGUAGAUAUUUGGAGGAACACCAGUGGCGAAGGCGGCUCACUGGCUCGAUACUGACGCUGAGGUACGAAAGUGUGGGGAGCAAACAGGAUUAGAUACCCUGGUAGUCCACACCGUAAACGAUGAAUGCCAGACGUCGGGGGGCUUGCCCUUCGGUGUCACACCUAACGGAUUAAGCUUCCCGCCCUGGGG